rnacentral:misc_RNA from 1 species
AAAGAGGAUAAUAUAUUUUUUUCAAUUGGUUGUGACUCUUUAUGGCCGAGGACAAGGGAUGGGUAUGCUGCAUCAUCUGCGUCCGCGCGUCCGUCCAACAUAUAUCAGCAAAUUAAUCCAACUCACCUCAUCGAUCGAGGUGCAUGCUCUGCAGCCAAAUCAAGGGCGCAGAAAGGAAUCCGAGCAAAACAACCGCGCAUGGUCAGGGCACGCAAUAUAUGAAAACCGAGAUUCUGGUCCGACAUGCAUGCAAUCGUACGUCAGGCUCAUCAAAUUUUUUAAUGCAUUGUCCAUGGAGAUAGAUCAUGGACAAGGGACGAUGGCAUGAUCUGCGAUGCAUCGAUCGAGGUGCAUGUGCAUGUGCAUGCUCAUCAGGGUUUUGAUUCUCCGAUCCGAUCCUCUAGCUCAUCAUCGUCAGAGCGCGCCAGCAGAAGAUAAUCUUGAUUUUAAGACAGCAGUUUCGCAAGAAGAUCAUCGUCAGGCUCAUCAGGUUUUUAUUCUACACAAAGAAGAAACGGUUACCCAUCUCUUUCUCAGGCGCAAUUUCACAAGAAGAAGCUGGCAGACAAUUAGAUUAGCACCGCCCAGAACAUCUGACAUACACAAUGUGAUGAGAUUAACUUUUCAACAGCUUGAUGGAAAAUAGAAAGGGGAAGCAGUGAUGGUCAUGUUAUGGUGCAUAUGGAAGCG